GACCCAGAUAAAAUACAUGUUGAAACGGUGAAGCAUAAACGCGAAGAAACGGGGGGAAACCUACUAAGGUUUUUGGGGCAGCAAUAUUUCUGUGAUUCAAUAUUGUUUCCUUACAACUACGACUUCCACUGGAUUCUACUAGACAUUCAACCUGAUAAGGGAAUAGUUGAAGUAAAAGACCCACUGAGUAGAGGCCUGGACGGGUUCCAGGACUUGCAGAAGUUGCUCCAAGUGGCUUGGCAAGCUUUGAAGAAUGUUCAUAAGGAGAUUACCUUUGCAAAGAAGCUAACAUUUAAUCCUGUACCGUGCCCCCAGCAGCCACAAGGGACGAAUCUAUGUGGAUACUACGUUUGCGAGUCCAUUCGCAUGUUAACCACU